UUUUUGUUAUGUUAGGUGAGGCUCCUAUAUAGAUAUAUGCUACUGCCCGGAAACAUCGAGAGAUGCCAAUGGGUCAACAGGUAUUACCGAAUUAAGGUUUUACUUAAUGUAGCUGGACAAAAUUUAGUCUAAAGCUAUAUAGUGCUAAAACUCAGACGAUUUAAAAGUUU
rnacentral:sRNA from 2 species